UGUCAGUAUAGAAAUACUGUGCUGUGCCAGCAGGGCUGCUUGCAGAGUGGGUGGCAGCACUGUAUCACUUCACAUAAGGAGCACUCUUCACGUAGGGGCUGGGUUGCCAAAACAUGGCAUGCCUUAACAUCCUCCAGCACAAUUAAAAGCACAACUUGAUAAGUGAGUGUUUUAAUAUAACUCAUACUAAUAGUACUCAUGAAUUAAUCUCUUCACACCAGUGUGCUCAUUUGAUACAGAAGCUCAGUUGUAGCUUCAGAUUUCUUCUGGAGACUUCCAGGCACACCGUCUGGUUGUCACGGGGAUCAUGUUCCUGUUAUAAAUCCUAGGGGCGUGCUCCGGACUGGGAACUCUCUCACUGGCUGCCAUUUUGUGUUUCACUCACAGACUCAGACCUACAGAGCAGGAUGUUGAGGGCAGUGCUUAAGGCUGUAGGCACUGCAUGUGGUCAGGCAUGGAGCGGUAAGACACACAGGAGGUAGAGAUGUUCACAGGUCUGUCAUGUUCCUUGUUCAGGUCAUCAGGGUAGAUAUGGGAUUAGCCGUGUUUUCCUUGGUCAUAGUACAGCCCCUACUGUGCUCUAUGGUGUAGUUGUGUUUUCUUUUUUCUUUGCCUUAGUUGAAAUGAAAAGUGACAGAAACAUACAUCUGACGCUCCACUCUGAUGGUCGACCAGCCUUCUGUAAGCAGAGGCCCACAUUGUACCGUUUAAACCAACUGGCUCCAACUGAGAGCUCUUUGUUAGCGGUUGGUUGGCAAAAUAAUUUUUCCGUACUUAGUCUCCAUCCUGUAAGAAAAUGAACAUCCCCUGGUGUUUAUACAGCCCAACCCAUGGUUUCCAUCCAGAAAAAGUUCUAGAAAGGUCUUCUAAACCAUGUUGGCUGCUUCCACUGGGGAUGGUUUAUCGCAAAACAACCUCUUAGUAUUUAUUAAUUAUCAUUAAGUACGCAGAAUGACAGAAACCUGUAGUGUUGUUUGUAGAAUUGACUUGGGUAUUCCUACACCAGCUUUGCACACAUGUAAUUGGUCAGUUUCUCUCAUUCUUCCCUUCAGAUAGUAUACAGCGAACAGCUGCUCAGGAUUCUUUAUAUAACACUGUCAUUGACUGCCGGUGCCCUGUGUUGUGUCUAUUUUGGCUCCUUUAAGAGAUGCAUCUCGUGGCAUGGUUUUAGGUGUUGUGUUACACUUUGCCAUUUAGAGUGUAACUGACACUCAAACUAAAACUCCAGUAUAUGGUCUGUCAUUUCAUUUGGAUGAAUGCGGUGGGUCGCUGUCCUGCUGGAAGACCAAACCAUGGCUCAGUUAGAUACGGGAAGCUUGUGACCUCGACUAUCCAGGACCUUGAGAGAGUCCUUGUUGCCAAUCACCCGGACAGCACCACAACACCACCACCAAACUUCACAUUGGCAAUGAGGUUAUUUUCUUCAUGAUUGUUUUUGCAUCAAGCCCACUUCUGGUGUUAGUUUCCAAAUAGCUCUCUGUUAGUUUCAUAAGACCACACAACCUGGUUCCAAUCAAAGUUCCAAUGACAUUUAGCAAUCACCAUGUUUACUUUUGUGGUUUGAUAACUGCAGAAGCUUUCUUCUGGAAACUGUUCCUUUUGGCAUGGACGUGAAGUCUGAUUAUAGUUGUAGAGACUUGGUGACACCUUAUGCAAUUUUCCAUUUGUGAUCCUUGGAGAUGACCAAGUCAGCUAUCUUCCUCACUUUGUGUAGGAGUCAAAUACACACAUCCUCAUCCAUACAGAUGCAUCUCUGCUCCAGUUUGAAAUUGAAUUAUUCUGAAUAGUAAAGAUGGCGUGGAGUUAGAGCCACUGUCUGACUCAUGAAGGUCAGCCUUCUGUCUCACUUCGUGUGUGUGUUCGCUGGUCUUUCCCGCGUGUCCCCUGGUCUUUCCCGCGUGGCCCCAGCCCCUUAAACACUGGGAACUAAACCGGCAUCACCUAUUUAUGGCAAAAUGACGUCAUGGAUGAACACCUACUUUUGGAGUUCCCAAGAGACUCAUUCCUCCUGCUUGGAAAACCCAUCAUAUAGAUUUGAGCUGAAUUGAACUGAAUUUCUACGAGUGACAAUGGUGGAAUCCAUGUUUUCGAAUAAAAUAAUUUAUUCUUAUAUAAAAUCGUGUUUCUUAAUAGGCCAAACCGUUUUUCUUAAUAACCGUUAAACACAUUCUAAACGAUCAAGUUUAGCAACGUGUUUUAUUUGUGUGAAAUCUAGCUGAUGAACGAUGACCAUGCUGUUCGUAUUUACACAAUGUGUUUUUUUGGAAGCACACAGGGAAGGAGACUUUUAUUGAGAGCAUGACCAUUACAGUCGAACUGUUUAGAAAAAAGUGGGGUGUGCUUGGCUACUGUAAGAUCUCCGAUUAUUUUUACUACAACCAGGCUGCAGCAAGUACAGUCCUUGACUGUGAAGAAGUAAAGGAAAGAAUGCAAAAACGAAAGAAUGAUAGGGUAGACUAGACGAGUAGUGGGAGAGAGGGAGGGAUUGUUAAAGUUAGUAAAAGGAAGAGAGGGAGAGUGCGGGACAGGGCAGGGAGCUCUGAAAGUCUGAGUCACACCAAGAAAAAAAAGGAAACGUUGGUUCGCGCUGCUAUCUCUGCAAAAUCGCGAGCAAGUUGGCUGCCGCUGUCGUUUUAAGUCCGGCACCACACCCCCAGCCUUCCUCUCCUGGUUUUCCACUCCCCCCUCACCUUUCCCCCCGAACCUCCCACCUGUCUCCGGAUUGUACGAGUGACCCACUCUGUUCCAGGCCCCAUGCCGGCUAGACCCCCUGGAAACGUGUUCCCAACCCUGGUGGUUGUGGGGCACGUAGUUACUUUGAUCGCUGUUUGGCAGUGGAGGAUACGUAAGAAACAAGAUGAACGAGAUCGGGUCCAGAAAAAGACCUUCACAAAAUGGAUCAACAAACACCUGAUGAAGCACUGGAGAGCAGAGGCUCAGCGACAUGUGACAGACCUGUACGAGGACCUGAGAGAUGGACACAACCUCAUCUCCCUGCUGGAGGUUCUCUCAGGAGAGACACUGCCAAGGGAGAAAGGACGCAUGCGCUUCCACAAGCUGCAGAAUGUCCAGAUCGCCCUGGACUUCCUCAAACACAGACAGGUGAAACUGGUCAACAUCAGGAAUGACGACAUCGCCGAUGGCAACCCCAAGCUGACCCUGGGGCUGAUCUGGACCAUAAUCCUCCACUUCCAGAUCUCAGACAUCCAGGUGAACGGCCAGUCUGAUGACAUGACGGCCAAGGAGAAGCUGCUGCUGUGGUCUCAGAGGAUGACGGAGGGCUACCACGGCAUGCGCUGCGACAACUUCACCUCCUCCUGGAGGGACGGCAAGCUCUUCAACGCCAUCAUCCACAAACACAGGCCCCAUCUGAUAGACAUGGGCAAGGUGUACCGGCAGAGCAGCCAGGAGAACCUGGAGCAGUCCUUCAGCGUGGCAGAGCGAGAGCUGGGGGUCACCCGCCUGCUCGACCCAGAGGAUGUGGACGUACUUCACCCAGACGAGAAGUCUAUCAUCACAUACGUGUCGUCGCUCUACGACGUCAUGCCCAGGGUUCCAGACGUGCAGGACGGGGUGAAGGCCAACGAGUUGGAGCUGCGCUGGCAGGAGUAUUAUGAGCUGGUCACUCUGCUGCUGCAGUGGAUCAGACAUCACGUGGUGGUGUUCGAGGAGAGGAGGUUCCCCACCAGCUACGAGGAGAUAGACGUUCUUUGGCGCCAGUUUCUGAAGUUUAAGGAGAUGGAGCUACCUGCAAAAGAGGCGGACAAGAACCGCUCCAAACACAUCUACAAGUCCUUUGAGGGCGCCGUCCAGGCAGGACACGUCAAGGUUCCUCCUGGGCUCCACCCCUUCGACGUGGAGAAGGAGUGGGGGCGACUACACGUGGCCAUACUGGAGAGAGAGCGUCUGCUGAGGACAGAGUUUGAGAGGCUGGAGCGACUCCAGAGGGUGGUCAGCAAGGUCCAGAUGGAGUCUGGGGUGUGUGAGGAGCAGCUGAACCAAGUGGACACCUUGCUACAGUCGGAUGUUCGUAUGAUGAGCUCAGGAAAGCCACCCCAGCACUCUGCCGAUAUCGAGGUGGACCUGGAGAAAGCUGAGGGCAUGAUCAGGUGCCUCUUCAACGACGUGCAGCUUCUCAAGGACGGACGGCAUCUUCAAGCUGAGCAGAUGUACCGCAGGGUGUACCGUCUCCACGAGCGCCUGGUGAACCUGCGUAGCGAGUACAGCCUGCGCCUCCGGUCUGGCAUCAGCUCCAGCCAGGUGCCCCUGUCCCCAACCCAGUCAUCCCACACGCUCCAGCAGGCCCCGGUGAGGGUGAGGCCAGAGCUGGAUGAGGUCACGCUGCGCUACAUCCAGGACCUGCUGGUCUGGGUGGAGGACAACCAGAGGAGGGUGGCCCAGGGGGAGUGGGGUUUAGACCUGCCCACGGUGGAGUCCCAUCUGGGCAGUCACCGCGGCCUGCACCACUCUGUGGAGGAGUUCCGAUCCAAGAUCGACAGGGCCAAGGCAGACGAGACUCAGAUCUCACCUGUCAGUAGAGGUGCGUACAGGGACUAUCUCUCCAAGUUGGAGAUGCAGUAUGGCAAGCUUCUCAACUCCUCCAGGUCUCGUCUGAGCAGCCUGGACCAGCUGCACGCGUUCGUCACUGCGGCGACCAAGGAGCUGAUGUGGCUGAAUGAGAAGGAGGAGGAGGAGGUGAACUACGACUGGAGCGACCGCAACAGCAACAUGACUGCCAAGAAAGACAAGUACUCGGGCCUGAUGAGAGAGCUGGAGCUAAGGGAGAAGAGGGUGAACACCGUCCAGGCGACUGGAGUCAAGCUCCUGAAAGAGAGUCACCCUGCCAGCAAGACUGUGGAGGCCUUCACGGCCGCCCUGCAGACCCAGUGGAGCUGGAUCCUGCAGCUGUGCUGCUGCGUCGAGUCCCAUCUCAAGGAGAACACGCUGUACUUCCAGUUCUUCUCUGACCUGAAGGAGGCUGAGGACAAGAUGAAGAAGAUGGAGGAGACCAUGAGGAGGAAAUACAGAUGUGACCGUUCCAUGACUGUCACCAGGCUGGAGGACUUACUGCAAGACCAGGCGGAUGAUAAAGAGCAGCUGAAAGAGUUCAAAACUCACCUGGAGGGUUUAAACAAGAGGUCGAAGACCAUCGUCCAGCUGAAACCGCGCAGCCCUGCCACCCCAGUGUCGAGCAAAACACCAGUUCAGGCCAUCUGCGACUUCAAACAGAUGGAGAUCACGGUUCACAGGGGAGAUGAGUGUUCCUUGCUCAACAACUCCCAGCCGUACCAGUGGAAGGUGCUGAACGCCAGAGGCAGCGAAGCCACAGUACCCUCAGUUUGCUUCCUGGUUCCUCCACUCAACAAGGAGGCUGGGAACGGUGUCUCAGAGCUGGACUCCAAUCUGCAGAAGCUGCUGGUGUUGUGGCAGAGACUGCAUGUGGACAUGAAGUGUCUGAUGUCCUGGCAGUACCUGAUGAGAGACAUCCAGCUCAUGAACUCCUGGAACAUCACCAUGUUCAGGACCCUGAGGGUGGAGGAGUAUAACCUGACGCUCAGAAACCUGCAGCAGCACUACCAGGACUUCCUCAGAGACAGUCAGGAGUCAGAACUGUUCGGGAAAGACGACCAUAGUCAGGUGGAAUCCAGUUACAACCAAGCCAACCAGCACUACCAAGGUCUGGCGCAGUCGGUUGAGCAAGGUGAUCAAGACGACUCUGUGUGUAGGAGCUACCUGAGCCGGAUCAAAGACCUGCACCUGAGGCUGGAGGGCUGUGAGAGUCGGACAGUCACACGUCUGCGACAGGCCAUACACAAGGAGCCUCUAAAAGACUGUGCCCUGAAGACUGUCGAGCAAAAGAAGGUCCAGUCUGAACUGGAGGGUUUGAUGAAGGACCUGAGCAGCGUGGCGGAGAAGACAGAGGAGGUUCUGUCCUCCCCUCAGCAGUCCAGCUCUGCCCUGGUGCUGCGCUCCGAACUGGACCUGACUCAGAAGAAGAUGCAGCACGUGUACAGUCUGUCCUCCGUCUACAUUGAUAAACUGAAGACCAUUGAUGUAGUGAUUCGCAGCACCAACGGAGCAGAAGACACUCUGAGAAAGUACGAAGCUCUGUUACGAGACGUCAACAAGGUCCCCACGGAUGACCAGGAAGUGGAGAAGUGUCAGACCCAGCUGAAGAGCAUGCGUGCCGGGGCGGAGGGUGACCAGGCAGCGUUCGACCAGAUCCAGGACGACCUGGAGAAGGCAGCGGCCGUGACGGAGCGUCUGACCAGAGUUCACUACGAGCGGGACGCUGAGCUGGACCUCCAGCGCCAGCUGGUGUCAGGGCUCCUGGAGCGCUGGCAGGCCGUGUUGGCCCAGAUCGACCUGCGGCACCACGAGCUGGAGGCUCUGGGCCGACAGAUGGUUUCCUACCGCAAGAGUUACCAGGAGCUCAUCCGCUGGAUCGAAGACGCCAAGCGGAGGCAGGAGAAGAUCCAGGCGGUGCCCGUUGGGGACAGCAAGGUCCUCGCAGAACAGCUGAAUCAAGAAAAGAAACUCCUUGAGGAGAUUGAAAAACACAAAGAUACGGUUGAAGACUGUCAGUCAUAUGCAAAAGCAUACAUUGAUGCAGUCAAGGACUAUGAACUGCAGGUAGUGACCUACAGAGCUCUGGAGGAGCCGCUGGCGUCUCCAGUAAAGAAAACCAAAAUGGAGUUUGCAUCGGACAACAUCAUCCAAGAGUAUGUGACUCUGAGGACUCGCUACAGCGAGCUGCUGAUAAUCACCAGCCAGUACAUCAAGUUUAUCACAAACACACAGCGCCGCCUGCAGGAGGACGAGAAAGCUACUGAACAACUAAAGGAAGAGGAGAGAAAAAAGAUGGCAGUGAUACAAGCUGAGUUAGAGAAGCAAAAGCAGUUAGCUGAGGCGCAUUCCAAAGCUGUCGCCAGGGCAGAACAAGAAGCACAGGAGCUCAAGUUAAAAAUGAAGGAGGAGGUUAGCAAGAGGGAGGUCGCAGCCGUGGACGCCGAGAAACAAAAGCAGAACGUACAGCAGGAGCUGCACAAACUGAAGAACCUGUCAGAGCAGGAGAUCAAGUCCAAGAGCCAGCAGGUGGACGAGGCGCUGUUCAGUCAAACCAGGAUCGAGGAAGAGAUCCUCACCAUCAGGCUGCAGCUGCAGACCACCAUGACGCAAAAGACCUCGGCCGAGUCAGAGCUGCAGCAGCUCCGAGAUCAGGCUGCCGAGGCUGACAGACUCAGGACGGCCGCCCAGGAGGAGGCGGAGAGACUUCGUAGGCAGGUGAAUGAAGAGACACAGAAGAAGCGUGUCGCGGAGGAGGAGCUGAAACGCAAGUCCGAGAGCGAGAAGGAGGCCGCCAGGAUCAAGCAGGCAGCUCUGGACGACCUGCAGAAGUUCAAAAUGCAAGCCGAGGAAGCCGAGCGACGCAUGAAGCAAGCAGAGGUGGAGAAGCUACGGCAGAUACAAGUGGCGGAGGAGGCGGCGCAGAAGAGCGCCGCCACGGAGCUGCAGAGCCAGUGCAGCGAGGCCGCCACGCGGCUGGAGGCGUCGCUGAGGCAGGAACAGGGGACAGUGAUCCAACUGCAGGUGGAGGCAGAGCAUCUCAAGAAGAAACAAGACGAGGCCAACAAGGCCAGGGAGGAAGCUCAAAGGGAACUGGAGAAAUGGAGACAGAAAGCCAAUGAAGCUCUUCGCCUGCGGCUCCAAGCGGAGGAAGACGCCCACAAAAAGAGCCAGGCCCAGGAAGAGGCAGAGAAGCAGAAAGAGGCGGCUGAACGAGAGGCCAAUAAACGGGCCAAAGCAGAGGAAGCUGCCCUCAAGCUGAAGGAGAUGGCAGAGAAGGAACUGGAGAAGCAGAGGAGGCUUGCGGAGGGGAUAGCCCAGCAGAAACUGUCUGCAGAGCAAGAGCUGAUCCGCCUCAGAGCCGACUUCGAACACGCCGAGCAGCAACGAGGUCUGUUGGACGAGGAACUCCAGCGUCUGAAACGCGAAGUAGAAGCAGCCAUGAAACAAAGAAAACAGCUGGAAGACGAACUGGCAAAGGUGAGAAAGGAAAUGGACGUUCUUCUCCAGAUCAAGAUCAAAACUGAAAAGGAGGCCAUGUCCAACACAGAAAAAAGCAAACAGCUACUUGAAUCUGAAGCCGCAAAAAUGAGACAGCUUGCCGAGGAGGCAACCAGACUGCGAUCAGAUGUGGAGGAAGCAAAGAUACAGAGGCAGGCGGCUGAGGAAGAGGCCGCCAGACAACGAGCCGAAGCUGAGAAGGUUCUAAAGGAGAAGCUUGCCGCCAUUAAUGAAGCAACUCGCCUGAAAACAGAGGCCGAGAUCGCUGUGAAGGACAAAGAAGAGGAAAACGAACGACUCAAGAGGAGAGCUGAAGAAGAAGCAUAUCAGAGGAAGGUCUUAGAGGACCAAGCGUCUCAGCACAAGCGAGACAUCGAGGAGAAGAUCAACCAGCUUAAGAAGUCAUCUGAUUCUGAACUGGAAAGGCAAAAGAAAAUGGUGGAGGAAACCCUCAAUCAGAGGAGAGUGGUUGAAGAGGAGAUCCGAAUCAUCAAACUCAACUUUGAGAAAGCCUCAACAGGCAAGCAAGGUCUGGAGCUUGAACUGAGCAAGUUGAAAAGCGUUGCAGACGACACGCAGAAGAGCAAAGUCAAAGCUGAGGAGGAGGCCGAGAAACUCCGAAAGCUGGCUUUGGAGGAGGAAGCCAAGAGGAAAGAAGCCGAGGUGAAGCUGAAGAAGAUCACGGCCGCAGAGCAAGAAGCCGCGCGGCAAUGCAAGGCAGCCCAGAAUGAGGUGGAGCGUCUCAAACAGAAGGUGUCCGAGGCCAACCAGCAGAAAGAGGAGGCCGACAAGCAGGCGGAAAAGCAGAUUCUUCUGGCCAAAGAGACGGCCCAGAAGUGCAGCUCUGCAGAAAAGAACGUGCUUGACGUUCUGACCAAGCAGAAAGAAGACACUCUCGCUCAAGAGAAGCUCAAAAAGGAAUUUGACGAGGCUAAGAAACUGGCUCAAGCUGCCGAGAAGGCCGCUGAGAAAGCAGAAAAAGAGGCUGCUUUACUCCGCCAGAAAGCAGAAGAUGCUGAAAAGCAAAAGCAGGCUGCUGAGGCUGAAGCCGCCAAACAGUCCAAGGCACAACAGGACGCUGAGAGACUGAGGCGAGAGGCAGAGCAGGAGGCCUCCAGCAGAGCCAAGGCAGAGGCAGAAGCUUUGGCGCAGAGGAAACAGGCGGAUAAGGAGAUGGCCAAGUACAAAAAACUAGCGGAACAAACCGUCAAACAGAAGUCUCAAGUCGAGAAGGAGCUGUCUAAGGUGAAACUGCAACUGGACGAGACCGACAAGCAGAAAAGUGUUCUCGACGAGGAGCUGCAGAGGUUGAAAAGUGAAGUCGGUGAUGCGGUCAAACAGAGAGCCCAGGUGGAGGAAGAGUUACGCAAAGUCAAGAUUCAGAUGGAGGACCUGGUCAAACUGAAGCUGAGAAUCGAGGAGGAGAACAAGCAGCUCUUACAAAAAGAUAAAGACAGCACUCAGAAGUUGCUGGCGGAGGAAGCGGAGAACAUGAGGAAACUUGCAGAAGAGGCAGCCAGGCUCAGCAUUGAGGCUCAGGAGGCAGCGAGGCAGAGGCAGACUGCAGAGGCGGACCUUGACCAGCAGAGGGUACUUGCGGACAAAAUGCUAAAGGAAAAAAUGCAGGCCAUCCAAGAGGCAAGUAAACUGAAAUCUGAAGCAGAGAAGCUCCAGAGACAGAAGGAACAGGCCCAGGAGAAGGCCCAGAAACUGCUAGAAGACAAGCAGCAAAUGCAACAGCGUCUUAAGAAGGAAACUGAGGUCUUCCAGAAAUCAUUAGAGGCCGAGCGCAAGAGGCAGCUUGAAGUUUCUGAAGAAGCUGAUAAACUGAAGCUGAGGGUGUCUCAGCUCAGUGAUGCCCAGUCGAAAGCAGAGGAGGAGGCUAAGAAAUUCAAGAAACAGGCAGAUGACAUUAGGGCUAAAUUAGAAGAGACAGAGCAUCAAACUGUAGAUAAGGUAGUUGUUGAGAAACUAGAGGUGCAGAGGCUGCAGAGCACCAAGGAGGCUGACGAGCUUCGCAAAACCAUCAGUGACCUCCAGAAGGAAAAGGACAGGUUGAAAAAAGAGGCUGAAGACUUACAGAAUAAAUCCAAAGAGAUGGCCAACGCCCAUCAGGAGCAAAUUAAGAAGGAAAAGGCCCUUCUUCAACAGUCUUUCUUCACAGAGAAAGAAACGUUACUAAAAACAGAAAAACUCAUUGAGAGUGAGAAAAGAAAGCUUGAAAAAGAGUUUGAGGAUGAAGUCAAGAAGGCGAAGACUCUCAAAGAAAAUCAAGAGCGUCAAAUAAAACAGAUGGAAGACGAGAAAAAUAAACUCAAGGCAAACAUGGACGCUGUCGUGAAGAAGCAAAAGGAUGCCGAGCAAGAGAUGCUAAUCAAGCAGAAAGAAAUGGACGAAUUUCAGAAGAAAAAGCUUGAACAAGAAAAGCUACUGGCUGAAGAAAAUCAAAAUCUGAGAGACAAGCUGCAGAAACUCGAGGUUGCUCAAAAACCAAGCUCAUCCGACGUGAAAGAAAUUGAAAUACAAACAGAUGUGGUCCCCGAAGAUCCAUGCAAUGCAGUGACAGUGGAAACUACAAAGAAAGUUUUAAACGGUUCUGUGGAAACAGAUGGCAAGAGGGAAUCGCCACUGGAAUUUGAUGGGAUAAGGGGAAAGGUUACAGCAAACAGGCUCCAUGAAAUUGGUAUACUGACUAAGAAGGAAUUUGACAAGCUGAAACAGGGCAAAGCCAAAGUCCAAGACCUGAGCAAAACUGAGAAAGUUAAAACGUGUCUAAAGGGACAGAACUGUGUUGGCGGGGUCUUGACUCCAUCAAAGCAGAGAAUGACUGUUUACCAGGCCUUGAAAAAGAAGAAGAUUACUCCAAGCACUGCUGUCAUGCUCCUGGAAGCUCAAGCCGCCUCGGGGCAUAUCAUUGACCCCGUGAAAAACAGAGCACUCUCAGUGGAUGAAGCUGUGAAGGAAGAACUCAUAGGACCAGAACUUCACAACAAAAUACUUUCAGCAGAGAAGGCUGUCACAGGCUACAAAGACCCUUAUACUGGAGCCAGAAUCUCAAUCUUUGAAGCAAUGAAAAAGGGUCUAAUUGAGAAAGACCAGGCCAUCAGACUUCUAGAUGUUCAGAUUGCAACAGGUGGAAUCAUUGACCCUGUCAACAGCCAUCGUGUUCCCCUCCAGACAGCCUACAAGCAAGGCCAAUAUGACGCUGACAUGAAUAAGAAACUCUCAGAAGCUUCUGAUGAAUCAAAACUGUUUAUUGACCCUAGCACUCAGGAGACUGUCACCUACAAGCAGCUAUUGGAAAGAUGCGUCACGGAUUCAGAAACAGGAUUGCUGCUGUUGCCGAUCACAGAUAAAGCUGCUGAGAGUGAGAUCCCUCGCACGGAUGAAGAGACUAAAGAUGUGCUCAGCAAAUCAAACAUUAUGGUACCUUUUGGACGAUUCAAAGGGAAGACUGUGACUAUUUGGGAAAUUAUCAACUCUGAGUAUUUCACAGAAGAGCAGAGAAGGGACUUGAUAUAUCAGUACAAAACUGGGAAAAUAACAGUGGAGAAAAUCAUCAAAAUUGUCAUUACGGUCGUGGAAGACAAAGAGAAAAAUAAGGAAAAUGGCUUAGCUGGUCUCAGGACCCCAGUCCUUGCCUCUGAACUUCUGGAUUCUAAAAUAAUCAACAAAGGCCUGUUCAAUAAGCUACAAAAUGGCAAAAUAACAAUUAAAGAAAUCUCAGAAAUGGACGCUGUCAAGAAAGCUUUGAGGGGAACGCACAGCAUUGCUGGAGUGAUCAACGAGUCUACAAAAGAGAAAAUGUCAUUCUAUCAAGCAAUGAAAAAAGAGAUGAUCUCACCAGAGGUUACACUGAAUCUUCUUGAGGCACAAGCAGGUACUGGAUUUAUUAUUGACCCUGUUAAAAAUGAGAAGUCUACAGUGGAUGAGGCUGUUAAAUCAGGCUUGGUCGGCCCAGAACUGCAUGAAAAACUUCUGUCUGCUGAGAGGGCUGUCCAGGGGUACAAGGAUCCCUAUAGUGGGAACACCGUCUCUCUUUUUGAGGCGAUGAACAAAGACCUCAUAAAGAAAGAUCAUGGAGUCCGUCUGCUUGAAGCUCAGCUGGCUACCGGAGGAAUUAUUGAUCCUGUCAAAAGUUAUCACAUGCCACACGACGUUGCCUGCAAACGAGGUUAUUUCAGCGAUGAGAUGAAUAAUGUGUUGAACAAGGACAGUGAUGAAACCAAAGUGUUCUAUGAUCCUGAGUUGCAGGGGUAUUCCUCUUACGCACAACUGCUGAAAAGGUGCGUCACUGACAAAGACUCUGGCCUCCCGUUGCUUCCUCUCUCGGAAAAAGCCAUGAAAUCAAGUCAGGAAGAAAGCCUUAAGAUCUCUGACACCCAAGCCAAAGAUGCCUUGAAUCACGCAACUCUGGAGUUACAGUACGGACCUUUCAAAGGAAGAAGAGUCACCAUUUGGGAAAUCAUUCACUCUCAGUACAUCACCGAGGAGAAAAGAAUUGAGCUCAUCCAGCUAUACAGAACUGGAUAUAUUACCAUUGAGAAAAUGAUGAAAAUCGUUGUCACGAUGAUUGAAGACAAGGACACCAACAAACAGGACGAAGUGUCUUUUGAAGGUCUCAGAGCACCUGUCACCAUCUCUGCUUUGCUUGAGUCCAACAUCAUUAAUAAAUCCACCUUUGAUCAACUCAAACAAGGGAAAAAGAAACCCAAAGAUAUCAGUGACAUGGAUUCAGUCAAGAAAUACCUACAAGGCACCGACGGCAUCGCAGGGAUUCAUAUGGAAGAUUCAAAAGACAAAUUAAGCAUUUAUCAAGCAAUGAAAACAAAUUUGCUGAGUCAAAACGCAGGAAUUGCAUUACUCGAGGCACAAGCUGCCACCGGCUUUAUAAUUGACCCCGUCAAAAACCAGAAGUACACUGUUGACGACGCUGUCAAGAUUGGAGUCGUCGGUCCUGAGCUUCAUGAAAAGCUUCUCUCAGCUGAGAAGGCAGUGACAGGCUAUAAAGACCCAUACACAGGCAACACAAUAUCUCUAUUCCAAGCCAUGAAUAAGGAGCUUGUACCACGAGAACACGCUAUCCCCCUCUUAGAGGCCCAAGUCGCCACUGGAGGAGUUAUAGAUCCAGUUAGUAGCCACAGAGUCCCUGUUGAUGUGGCUUACCAGCGAGGCUAUUUAACUAAACAAAUGGCCAAAACCUUUAGUGAUCCCUCAGGAGAUGUCAAAGGCUUCUCUGAUCCCAACACAAACACAAGUUCCACAUACAAACAACUGCAGGCAAAAUGCAUUAGGGACCCUGACACUGGUCUGUGCUUCCUGCCCCUAUCAAAGGCCGAAGUUCCUUCGGAGGAAACGCCCCACGUGUACACAGAAGAACAGGCACAGACAGACUUAUCAAACACUCAAGUAGAUAUACCCCACGAGAGUUUUGCAGGCAGGAGUAUGACAUUGUGGGACAUCAUGAGGUCAAAUUUGCUUCCAGAAGAAGAAAAGCAAAGGCUGAUGGAACAGUAUCGUUCUGGGCAGAUUACAAAAGACAGAAUGAUCAUCAUUAUCAUAGAAAUGAUUGUACAACGAGAAAUUAUUAAGACAGAACAGACCAUGUCCUGUGAUGUGAUUAGAAGGAGAGUCACAAUUGAGGAUCUUUACAGUUCUAGAAUCAUUGACCUUCAAACUUAUAACCUGUUGAAGCAAGAAAAGGUCACCAUUCGUGAGGUGAUGGAAAUGCCUUCAGUGAAGCAGUAUCUCUUUGGUACUGGAUGUAUUGCCGGAAUUUUGUCAGAUUCCCCAUCCAAGAUCAGCAUUUACCAGGCCAUGCAGAGAGGGCUCAUCAAGCCAAAUAUAGCUAUCAGUCUCCUUGAGGCCCAAGCAGCCACUGGAUUCAUCAUCGACCCAGUAAAGGAUCAGUUGUUGACUGUGGAUGAGGCCGUACGCAAAGGACUGGUUGGCCCUGAGCUCCACGAUAAACUUCUUUCAGCUGAGAGGGCAGUCACUGGCUACAAGGAUCCUUACAGUGGAAAAGUGAUUUCUGUCUUCCAAGCAAUGAAGAAAGACCUAAUUCCUGAAGACUAUGCCCUGAGGCUACUGGAAGCUCAGGUUGCCACUGGAGGCAUCUUGGAUCCAGAAUACUACUUCCAUCUUCCCACGGAUGUUGCCACCCAACGUGGAUAUAUCAACAAAGAAACACAUGACAGACUAAUGCACCCUACUGGGGAUGUGCAAGCUUACACUGAACCAACCACAGAUGAGAAAACCACCUAUGCCCAGCUACUGAAGAGAUGCAAAGCGGAUAAAGAGAGCGGCUUGCUGUUGCUUUCACUGGCAGACAGAAAGCUGCUUUUUAAGGGGCUCAGAAAACAAGUCACCCUGGAGGAGCUACUGUGCUCUCAGAUUAUCAGCCAGAAGACGUAUGAUGACCUCUUAGAGGGACUUAUCACAGUGGAGGAGGUCAGCAGACAAGUAAAGAAGUACCUUGAAGGCACAAGCUGCAUUGCUGGGGUGUAUGUAGAAUCAAGCAAAGAUUAUCUGUCGAUAUAUCAAGCAAUGAAAAAGAACAUGAUAAGGCCAGGAACUGCCUUUGAACUUCUUGAGGCCCAGGCCGCAACAGGAUAUGUCAUCGACCCGAUAAAGAACUUGAAGCUUAAUGUUAGCGAAGCUGUUACGAUGGGCAUUGUGGGUCCUGAAUUCAAAGAUAAGCUUCUCUCUGCAGAACGUGCCGUAACGGGCUACAAGGACCCCUACUCUGGCAAGAUCAUCUCUCUUUUUCAGGCGAUGAAAAAGGGACUCAUUCUAAAAGACCAUGGCAUUCGUCUGUUGGAAGCCCAAAUUGCCACCGGUGGCAUCAUUGAUCCGGAGGAAAGCCAUCGCUUGCCCGUUGAGAUGGCCUACAAACGCGGCCUAUUCGACAAGGAGAUGAACGAGAUCCUCACCGACCCUUCUGACGACACUAAAGGGUUCUUUGACCCUAACACAGAGGAGAACCUUACAUACCUGCAGCUGAUGGAGCGCUGCAUGAUUCACCCAGAAACCGGACUGGCACUUUUACUGAUGAAGGAGAAGAAACGGGAGAAAAAGACUUCCUCCAAGUCAUCUGUGCGUAAACGUAGAGUGGUUAUUGUGGAUCCUGAGACAGGCAAGGAGAUGUCUGUUUAUGAGGCUUAUCGCAAAGGGCUCAUUGAUCACCAGACCUACCUCGAGCUUGCAGAGCAGGAAUGCGAGUGGGAAGAGAUUACCAUAUCCUCAUCAGAUGGCGUUGUGAAGUCCAUGAUCAUUGACAGAAGGUCUGGCCGGCAGUAUGACAUUGAUGAGACCAUCUCAAAGGGCCUCAUCGAUCAGUCUGCUGUGGAUCAAUACCGUGCAGGCACUCUGUCCAUCACAGAGUUUGCAGACAUGCUCUCUGGGAACACGAGUGGCAGCAGGUCGCGGUCCUCCUCUUUUGGAUCGACCGCGUCCUACCCCAUGAGCCCGGUCCCUUCCAUCAAAACACCGGCAACUACAUGGAACGACCCGACAGAGGAGACCGGCCCUGUGGCUGGAAUCCUGGACACGGAAACACUGGAGAAGGUGUCUGUCACGGAGGCCAUGCACCGAAACCUUGUGGACAACAUCACAGGUCAGAGGUUACUAGAGGCCCAGGCAUGCACGGGAGGUAUCAUUGAUCCCAACACGGGAGAGAAGUUCACGGUUGCGGAUGCAGUGAACAAAGGACUGGUGGACAAGAUUAUGGUUGACCGUAUCAACCUCGCGCAGAAGGCCUUCAAUGGAUUUGAGGAUCCCAGAACUAAAACCAAAAUGUCCGCAGCCCAGGCUCUGAAGAAGGGCUGGCUGUACUACGAAGCUGGCCAACGGUUCUUGGAAGUCCAAUAUCUCACAGGAGGCUUGAUUGAACCAGAAACAUCCACAAGAGUUCCACUGGACGAGGCUAUCAAGAAGGGUACCUUAGACGCAAGGACAGCACAGAAGCUACGAGACGUCAGCGGAUACUCCAAAUACCUCACCUGCCCCAAAACCAAGCUCAAGAUCUCCUACAAGGACGCCAUGGACAGAAGCAUGAUGGAGGAGGGGUCUGCUCUACGCCUGCUAGAAGCCUCAUCUCAGUCCAGUAAAGGCCUUUACAGCCCUUACAGUGUUAGUGGUUCAAGCUCAGCCACUGGUUCCCGGUCUGGAUCCAGAAGUGGUUCCAGACGAGGGAGCUUUGAUGCCUCAAGUUCAGGAUUUUCCACAACGUUCACGUCCUCCUCCUCCUACAGCUCCCCGAGUUACACCCGGCGGUACUAGGCGUGGAGGGAGCCCUGAUGAGCUAGCACGGAUCCUAGCAGCAUUAUUAGUAUUAGGCAGUCGCUGCUGUUUUGAAGAUGGAUAUUUAACACGAUAUAACCACAGAGCUCUUGAGGUGCCAAGCCAUCCAUAGAAGAAAAAAGUGUUUUCGUUUUUUUUCUUCUGCAUGUGAUUGUUUUGGAGCUUUGCAGUUCAUUAUUCAACCUGGUUUCUAUAAUAAUAUCUAAUUGUUAUGUUAUUUUCUGUUCUGUUUUAAAUUGUGUAGUCUGAGGUCAUUUUUUAAUUCACUAUCCUUUAUAGAAUACUUGUAUUCAAGCUGUCUUUUAAGUAAUUCAACUUAUAUAUUGUUGACAACAUUUUAAAUGGAAAACUAAUAUUUUCUAUUUUCAAGUCUACUGUUACUUGUAACAUAGACUGUUUGAGUUAUCCGUCAAUAUUUCGAGAUACUGUGUGUGUUUUGUUAUAUUUCAGCACAGAAAGAAUUACGUGAGAUUAAGUUUUUCUAUGAUAAAUGAAAUUGGAUAUGAAAGUGGUUAAAUAGAUACCCUUGUAUGUGUAUAUUUAGUAGAAGAAAGUAAUUUCUAAACUUCAGGAAACAAGAGCUUCUAAUCACGAGACACAUGGUAGUUGUAAUGGGUCAAAUAUUAGCAUUGUGAGCUUCCAGAAUGUAAAUCAGCAGCUUUAAAAUAAACAUAUUAGACUGACUAAGUCAAAGUGAUGCUCACCUUAAGGGGACAAUAUGUCACACGUUGAAGAUUGUGAAGGUGAACAUUUGGCAGAGAUUCUCCUCGUGUGUCUCAUCUCAAAACCCAAGAUUACAACAUCAAGCCUGUUGACUAUCUGGACACCAGUAUCCAGUCCUCUCAACUAUUGUUUUGAUAUGUUCAUUUGCUUCUGUGUCAGGACCUUUCAAGACUACACACACUUCCCAAAACUAGUUCACAAACAAUCAGAAGACUAUCUUUACUCAAAUCACUCACUAAAUAUGGAUAACAUUAUACUCCAGUUCUGCUUACUGAUGUACAUAGUAAUUUAGUCCUGAACACCACGUCUUUUUACACUGUUCUUUUAACAUUGUUUUACAAGUGCCUGUAUAGUCGCUGUAUCAAUGAGAUGCUGAAACGUUUAGGUGGUACAGUUGUUGUUGUGUAAAUUAAUUGAUUCUUCACUGAAAAGUACAUUCUGCUCUUAGCUCUGAUGAUCACUGCAUUAUAGGAUCCAUUCAAUAGUCAUGUCAGCAUUCAAAAGCAUACUUAGUUGAUGUAUUAAGCAUUGUCACUUCCUGCAUCCAGUGCCCUAUUGUCUUUGUAAAUCAUUAUUUGAUCAAUUUCCAUGUUUUCAUAAGAUAUUUUUGCUUUGCAUGUUUACUCAUUUGGUUGAAAGGAUGCUAUAAAAAUGGUGACCAGUUA